UGACAUGGGUCAGAUUGUGUCCAUCGU
rnacentral:piRNA from 1 species